CCUACGGGAGGCAGCAGUGGGGAAUAUUGGACAAUGGGGGGAACCCUGAUCCAGCGACGCCGCGUGAGUGAAGAAGUAUUUCGGUAUGUAAAGCUCUAUCAGCAGGGAAGAAAGAAAUGACGGUACCUGACUAAGAAGCCCCGGCUAACUACGUGCCAGCAGCCGCGGUAAUACGUAUGGAGCAAGCGUUAUCCGGAUUUACUGGGCGUAAAGGGAGCGUAGGCGGCAUGCCAAGUCUGAUGUGAAAUACCGGGGCUCAACCCCGUGGCUGCAUUGGAAACUGGCAGGCUGGAGUGCCGGAGAGGCAGGCGGAAUUCCUAGUGUAGCGGUGAAAUGCGUAGAUAUUAGGAGGAACACCAGUGGCGAAGGCGGCCUGCUGGACGGUGACUGACGCUGAGGCUCGAAAGCGUGGGGAGCAAACAGGAUUAGAUACCCGAGUAGUC
rnacentral:rRNA from 1 species